AUACGUAGGGAGCGAGCGUUGUCCGGAAUUACUGGGUGUAAAGGGAGCGUAGGCGGGAGUGCAAGUCUGAUGUGAAAUACAUGGGCUCAACCCAUGGGCUGCAUUUGAAACUGCAUUUCUUGAGUGAAGUAGAGGUAAGCGGAAUUCCUGGUGUAGCGGUGAAAUGCGUAGAUAUCAGGAGGAACACCGGUGGCGAAGGCGGCUUACUGGGCUUUUACUGACGCUGAGGCUCGAAAGCGUGGGGAGCAAACAGGAUUAGAUACCCUGGUAGUCCACGCUGUAAACGAUGAUUACUAGGUGUGGGGGGACUGACCCCUUCCGUGCCGCAGUUAACACAAUAAGUAAUCCACCUGGGGAGUACGGCCGCAAGGUUGAAACUCAAAUGAAUUGACGGGG
rnacentral:rRNA from 1 species